GGCUCGGUAACUUAGUUGGUAAAUUGCUCGUCUAGCAUACAAGAGUCCUGGGUUCAAAUCCCAGCCAAGCAC
rfam:Aedes aegypti strain Liverpool supercont1.1262 genomic scaffold, whole genome shotgun sequence.